GAUGAACGCUGGCGGCAUGCUUUACACAUGCAAGUCGAACGGUAACAGGCCGCAAGGUGCUGACGAGUGGCGAACGGGUGAGUAAUGCAUCGGAACGUGCCCAGUCGUGGGGGAUAACGCAGCGAAAGCUGUGCUAAUACCGCAUACGAUCUAUGGAUGAAAGCGGGGGACCGUAAGGCCUCGCGCGAUUGGAGCGGCCGAUGUCAGAUUAGGUAGUUGGUGGGGUAAAGGCGCACCAAGCCAACGAUCUGUAGCUGGUCUGAGAGGACGACCAGCCACACUGGGACAGAGACACGGCCCAGACUCCUACGGGAGGCAGCAGUGGGGAAUUUUGGACAAUGGGCGCAAGCCUGAUCCAGCAAUGCCGCGUGCAGGAAGAAGGCCUUCGGGUUGUAAACUGCUUUUGUACGGAACGAAAAGGUUUGGGUUAAUACCCUGGGCCGAUGACGGUACCGUAAGAAUAAGCACCGGCUAACUACGUGCCAGCCGCCGCCGUAA
rnacentral:rRNA from 1 species